GAUGAACGCUGGCGGCGUGCUUAACACAUGCAAGUCGAACGAAGCAUUUGCGACAGAUUUUUUCGGAAUGAAGUUGCUUAUGACUGAGUGGCGGACGGGUGAGUAACGCGUGGGUAACCUGCCUUGUACUGGGGGAUAGCAGCUGGAAACGGCUGGUAAUACCGCAUAGGCGCACAAUGUUGCAUGACAUGGUGUGAAAAACUCCGGUGGUAUAAGAUGGACCCGCGUCUGAUUAGCUAGUUGGUGAGAUAACAGCCCACCAAGGCGACGAUCAGUAGCCGACCUGAGAGGGUGACCGGCCACAUUGGGACUGAGACACGGACCAGAAUCCUACGGGAGGCAGCAGUGGGGAAUAUUGCACAAUGGAGGAAACUCUGACGCAGCGACGCCGCGUGAGUGAAGAAGUAAUUCGUUAUGUAAAGCUCUAUCAGCAGGGAAGAUAGUGACGGUACCUGACUAAGAAGCGCCGGCUAAAUACGUG
rnacentral:rRNA from 1 species